UCGGUGUGUACAAGACCCGGGAACGUAUUCACCGCGGCAUGCUGAUCCGCGAUUACUAGCGAUUCCGACUUCGUGUAGGCGAGUUGCAGCCUACAGUCCGAACUGAGAACGGCUUUAAGAGAUUAGCUUACUCUCGCGAGCUUGCGACUCGUUGUACCGUCCAUUGUAGCACGUGUGUAGCCCAGGUCAUAAGGGGCAUGAUGAUCUGACGUCGUCCCCACCUUCCUCCGGUUUGUCACCGGCAGUCUCACUAGAGUGCCCAACUUAAUGCUGGCAACUAGUAACAAGGGUUGCGCUCGUUGCGGGACUUAACCCAACAUCUCACGACACGAGCUGACGACGACCAUGCACCACCUGUCAUUGCGUCCCCGAAGGGAACGCCUUAUCUCUAAGGUUAGCGCAAGAUGUCAAGACCUGGUAAGGUUCUUCGCGUUA
rnacentral:misc_RNA from 1 species